CGAUGGCCCAGCCUGCCAAUGCGCAUUAGCGCUGAGUCCUUGAAAAGGAAGCCAUGAGAGAUGAUACGCCCGCCCUCCCAGGACCAAUAGGUGUGGAGUGUGAUUGUGUGGAGAACAGUGCUGGCACCGGGCAUGUGCGGCACAGAGCAGGUGCUCAGUAAACAUCAGCAGGAGGCAUGGUGAGUGAGGAGCCGUGUGAAGGAGGCAGGUGCUGAGGGGCUGGGGGCUG
rnacentral:lncRNA from 1 species